AGAGUUUGAUCAUGGCUCAGAACGAACGCUGGCGGUAUGCCUAACACAUGCAAGUCGAACGCGAACGGAAUCUUCGGAUUCCAAGUAGAGUGGCGCACGGGUGAGUAACACGUGGAUAAUCUGCCCUAAGGUUUGGGAUAACACUUCGAAAGGGGUGCUAAUACCGGAUAAGCUCACGCCUUCCUCGGAAGAAGUGAGAAAAGAUUUAUUGCCUUAGGAUGAGUCCGCGGUCCAUUAGCUAGUUGGUGGGGUAAUGGCCUACCAAGGCUGCGAUGGAUAGCUGGUCUGAGAGGAUGAUCAGCCACACUGGAACUGAGACACGGUCCAGACUCCUACGGGAGGCAGCAGUGGGGAAUUUUGCGCAAUGGGGGAAACCCUGACGCAGCAAUACCGCGUGAAGGAUGAAGGCCCUUGGGUCGUAAACUUCUGUCAGUGGGGAAGAAAUGCCCGUAAGGGAGAUGACGGUACCCGCAAAGGAAGCACCGGCUAACUCCGUGCCAGCAGCCGCGGUAAUACGGAGGGUGCAAGCGUUGUUCGGAAUUAUUGGGCGUAAAGAGCAUGUAGGCGGACUAUUAAGUCUGGUGUGAAAGCCCGGGGCUCAA
rnacentral:rRNA from 1 species